UACGGGGGGGGCAAGCGUUGUUCGGAAUUACUGGGCGUAAAGGGUGCGUAGGCGGCUUUCUAAGUUGGAUGUGAAAACUAUGGGCUCAACCCAUAGCCUGCAUCCAAAACUGGAGAGCUUGGGUUCUGGAGGGGAAAGCGGAAUUCCUGGUGUAGCGGUGAAAUACGUAGAUAUCAGGAGGAACACCGGUGGCGAAGGCGGCUUUCUGGACAGAUACCGACGCUGAGGAGCGAAAGCGUGGGGAGCGAACAGG
rnacentral:rRNA from 1 species